rfam:Ornithorhynchus anatinus chromosome 11, whole genome shotgun sequence.
GGCAGCGUGGCUCAGUGGAAAGAGCCUGGAUUUCAGGGUCAGAGGUCGUGGGUUCGACUCCCGGCUCUGCCA